rnacentral:rRNA from 1 species
CCUACGGGAGGCAGCAGUGGGGAAUAUUGCACAAUGGGGGAAACCCUGAUGCAGCGACGCCGCGUGAGUGAAGAAGUAUUUCGGUAUGUAACGCUCUAUCAGCAGGGAAGAAAAUGACGGUACCUGAUUAAGAAGCCCCGGCUAACUACGUGCCAGCAGCCGCGGUAAUAAGUAGGGGGCAAGCGUUAUCCGGAUUUACUGGGUGUAAAGGGAGCGUAGACGGCAGCACAAGUCUGGAGUGAAAUGCAGGGGCUUAAACCCGGAACUGCUUUGGAAACUGUGCAGCUAGAGUGCAGGAGAGGUAAGUGGAAUUCGUAGUGUAGCGGUGAAAUGCGUAGAUAUUAGGAGGAACACCAGUGGCGAAGGCGGCUUACUGGACUGUAACUGACGUUGAGGCUCGAAAGCGUGGGGAGCAAACAGGAUUAGAUACCCUUGUAGUC